CACCGCCACCCCCACCCGCUUUCAACAUGCCACGGAGCAGCACGGAGCAGACGGUCACCCACGAGUUAAUAUUUGAUCGCAGAAGAAUCCUAUUUAUUAUUUUUCUUCACGGAAAAUUACAAAUGACCAAAUGUCGACCAUAGUUGCUGUUAUCACGCGGAACACGAUUAAGUCGCCUUGGUUACGAACACACCCGCGAAUCCUGUUCUCGCUGAGAAUGAAAAAAUGCGUGAAGCCGGUCGUCUUCGAUGUCGGGUUUUCGAUAAACGAUAUCUCUGGAGCCGGUUCCAUCGAUGUUGGCUUCCCGAAGACAAACCUGCAUGAAUAUUAUCCAAUCCACCGCGAACAUCGUCGUUAAAUUGCGACUUUUUGCCAGCGAAACUGUCAAUUGAAAGAAGACUUGUGUUAGCGUUGAUUGCAGGUAGCAGUUCACCGUAAUUACGCGAAACAAAUGCUGAUUUUUCCAGCCAGAAUUUCAAUUAGUGUAGCCAGACUCUUUUCAGUGCACUAAAAGGGAAAUUCCAUACUAACAUACUAUACCACUGAAGCCCUAUGAAAUAUUUACGAAAGAUCAAAGGUAAACCAGUUCGAGCACGAUGAUGAUUUUCUGAACUUUAAUCCCGUAUGCUUGAACACUGAAGCGAAGCGCAUUAU